AUACAUGCAAGUCGAGCGCAUCCUUCGGGAUGAGCGGCGGACGGGUGAGUAACGCGUGGGAAUGUGCCCUUCUCUACGGAAUAGCCACUGGAAACGGUGAGUAAUACCGUAUACGCCCUCAGGGGGAAAGAUUUAUCGGAGAAGGAUCAGCCCGCGUUAGAUUAGGUAGUUGGUGGGGUAACGGCCUACCAAGCCUACGAUCUAUAGCUGGUUUUAGAGGAUGAUCAGCCACACUGGGACUGAGACACGGCCCAGACUCCUACGGGAGGCAGCAGUAGGGAAUCUUGGACAAUGGGGGCAACCCUGAUCCAGCCAUGCCGCGUGAGUGAAGAAGGCCCUAGGGUCGUAAAGCUCUUUCGCCUGUGAUGAUAAUGACAGUAGCAGGUAAAGAAACCCCGGCUAACUCCGUGCCAGCAGCCGCGGUAAUACGGAGGGGGUUAGCGUUGUUCGGAAUUACUGGGCGUAAAGCGCGCGUAGGCGGAUUGGAAAGUUGGGGGUGAAAUCCCGGGGCUCAACCCCGGAACUGCCUUCAAAACUCCCAGUCUAGAGUUCGAGAGAGGUGAGUGGAAUUCCGAGUGUAGAGGUGAAAUUCGUAGAUAUUCGGAAGAACACCAGUGGCGAAGGCGGCUCACUGGCUCGAUACUGACGCUGAGGUGCGAAAGUGUGGGGAGCAAACAGGAUUAGAUACCCUGGUAGUCCACACCGUAAACGAUGAAUGCCAGUCGUCGGAUAGUAUACUAUUCGGUGACACACCUAACGGAUUAAGCAUUCCGCCUGGGGAGUACG
rnacentral:rRNA from 1 species